rnacentral:rRNA from 1 species
CAGCCGCCGCGGUAAUACAGAGGGUGCAAGCGUUAUCCGGAAUGAUUGGGCGUAAAGCGUCUGUAGGUGGCUUUUCAAGUCCGCCGUCAAAUCCCAGGGCUCAACCCUGGACAGGCGGUGGAAACUACCAAGCUGGAGUACGGUAGGGGCAGAGGGAAUUUCCGGUGUAGCGGUGAAAUGCGUAGAGAUGUGGAGGAACACCAGUGGCGAAGGCGACUCUCUGGUCUGUAACUGACGCUGAGGAGCGAAAGCGUGGGGAGCGAACAGGAUUAGAUACCCCCGUAGUCCCUGUCUCUUAUAC